UAAUACGUAGGGUGCGAGCGUUAAUCGGAAUUACUGGGCGUAAAGCGUGCGCAGGCGGUUUUGUAAGCCAGAUGUGAAAUCCCCGGGCUUAACCUGGGAACUGCAUUUGGGACUGCAAGGCUAGAGUACGGCAGAGGGGGGUAGAAUUCCUGGUGUAGCAGUGAAAUGCGUAGAUAUCAGGAGGAAUACCGAUGGCGAAGGCAGCCCCCUGGGUCGAUACUGACGCUCAUGCACGAAAGCGUGGGGAGCAAACAGGAUUAGAUACCCUGGUAGUCCACGCCCUAAACGAUGUCAACUAGUUGUUGGGAGCCUUACCGCUCUUAGUAACGCAGCUAACGCGUGAAGUUGACCGCCUGGGGAGUACGGUCGCAAGAUUAAAACUUAAAUGAAUUGACGG
rnacentral:rRNA from 1 species